AGCCGUGUCUAAGUUAGAGGCCCAAUUGAGUCAAUUAGCUAGCGCGUUAUGUGAGCGAGAAAAGAACAAGUUGCCAAGUCAACCCGAGGUAAAUCCUAAGUUUCCUCUCAAUCAAAGACCUCACGAGAAUGUUAAUUCAAUUAUCUCUCUAAGGUCGGGAAACCAAGUAGAUAACAAAGUUGGUGAGAACGUUAAUGAAAAUGAGGAGUCAAUGCCUAAAUCGAACCCUUCUUUGUCAAGCCAUGUUUAUGAUAAGCCCGAAU
rnacentral:lncRNA from 1 species